AACGAACGCUGGCGGCAUGCCUAACACAUGCCAGUCGAACGAGACCUUCGGGUCUAGUGGCGCACGGGUGCGUAACGCGUGGGAACCUGCCCUUAGGUUCGGAAUAACUCCCCGAAAGGGGUGCUAAUACCGGAUAAUGUCUUCGGACCAUAGAUUUAUCGCCUUUGGAUGGGCCCGCGUUGGAUUAGCUAGUUGGUAGGGUAAAAGCCUACCAAGGCGACGAUCCAUAGCUGGUCUGAGAGGAUGAUCAGCCACACUGGGACUGAGACACGGCCCAGACUCCUACGGGAGGCAGCAGUGGGGAAUAUUGGACAAUGGGCGAAAGCCUGAUCCAGCAAUGCCGCGUGAGUGAUGAAGGCCUUAGGGUUGUAAAGCUCUUUUACCCGGGAUGAUAAUGACAGUACCGGGAGAAUAAGCUCCGGCUAACUCCGUG
rnacentral:rRNA from 1 species